AGUGAACGCUGGCGGUAGGCCUAACACAUGCAAGUCGAACGGCAGCACAGUAAGAGCUUGCUCUUACGGGUGGCGAGUGGCGGACGGGUGAGGAAUACAUCGGAAUCUACUUUUUCGUGGGGGAUAACGUAGGGAAACUUACGCUAAUACCGCAUACGACCUACGGGUGAAAGCAGGGGAUCUUCGGACCUUGCGCGAUUGAAUGAGCCGAUGUCGGAUUAGCUAGUUGGCGGGGUAAAGGCCCACCAAGGCGACGAUCCGUAGCUGGUCUGAGAGGAUGGUCAGCCACACUGGAGCUGAGACACGGUCCAGACUCCUACGGGAGGCCGCAGUGGGGAAUAUUGGACAAUGGGCGCAAGCCUGAUCCAGCCAUACCGCGUGGGUGAAGAAGGCCUUCGGGUUGUAAAGCCCUUUUGUUGGGAAAGAAAAGCAGCAGGUUAAUACCCCGCUGUUCUGACGGUACCCAAAGAAUAAGCACCGGCUAACUUCGU
rnacentral:rRNA from 1 species